rnacentral:rRNA from 1 species
AUUGAACGCUGGCGGCAUGCCUUACACAUGCAAGUCGAACGGCAGCACGGGUGCUUGCACCUGGUGGCGAGUGGCGAACGGGUGAGUAAUACAUCGGAACAUGUCCUGUAGUGGGGGAUAGCCCGGCGAAAGCCGGGUUAAUACCGCAUACGAUCUACGGAUGAAAGCGGGGGACCUUCGGGCCUCGCGCUAUGGGGUUGGCCGAUGGCUGAUUAGCUAGUUGGUGGGGUAAAGGCCUACCAAGGCGACGAUCAGUAGCUGGUCUGAGAGGACGACCAGCCACACUGGGACUGAGACACGGCCCAGACUCCUACGGGAGGCAGCAGUGGGGAAUUUUGGACAAUGGGCGAAAGCCUGAUCCAGCAAUGCCGCGUGUGUGAAGAAGGCCUUCGGGUUGUAAAGCACUUUUGUCCGGAAAGAAAUCCUUGGCCCUAAUACGGUCGGGGGAUGACGGUACCGGAAGAAUAAGCACCGGCUAACUACGUG